GAGGAGAAGACAGAGAGGGAUUGAAUUUGGUCUUGGAGAAUGAGUAAGUGUUUACUAGGUAAAGAAGAGGAAGGCUAUUUCCGACGGAAGGGAAGCCUUAGUGUUUUAGGGAACGGUGAAACGUUUGAGGUAGUGAAGAUUGUCCUGUGUGGGGAGGAGAUGAGGCUUGUCAGGUAGUUGGAGGCCGGGUCGUGAAGGGUGUUGGAUGCCAGGAUAAAGAAUUUCAGAUUGUGGACAGUAGAGAAUUUUAAAGCCGAGGGAUGGCAUGAUCGCAUUCACCCUCUAGGAAGAACACCAGGCUAGUGUGGAGUAUGAGCUAAAGGGGGCAAGUAAGUCGGGAACGUGUAUAUAGAAGCCAGGUGCCAGCUGGGGCCUCCCAACCCACAGAGAGCUCUCUGAUUGCCUCAGAGCCUUGCCAAAGCCACAGCACGGGAGAGUCCAAACCAACCACAAUUUCUGCAGAUUCCUGGCCCUUAGGCUCUCAUGGUCUCUUGCCUGAGGUUCCUGUGGUCUGCGCAGUCCUUCUCUGUGUUGACAAAAAAAUUAAUCAGUCGAUCUAAGAAAGAAAUGGAAAAUUUUAUUAGAGCCAAACUGGGUAUUAUGACCCGGAAACAGCCUCUCAGAAAGCUCUGGGAACUGUUCCACCCGUUAGAGGUCAAAGCUCAGUUAUAUAGGUUUCUGAGACAGAGGGCUAUACAUUAAGUGACGUAUUAUUGACAGUUUACACAAUCCAGAUCUACAUGUACAAAGCAAGUAGCGGGUCAGGGGUCAUCAUGGGCCCUUACAAGAUUAAGAAGGAACGUUAUCUCCCAAGGAGUUAUGACCCUUGAUGAGAUUAAGAAGGCAUGUUAUCUCCUAAUGAGGUCUGGUUAGUGCAGGUGCACUAAAGGGGAGGGAGGAGGAAAAAAGAAAAAUGUUAUUUUAAUUUUUCUUGUCUUACCAUAAAACAUGAAUUUCAUUUCAUCAUCUGUUUUGUCCCCAUUUGCCUUAUCACAGAACUAAGCACCUUCAUGGGUUCCCUGAGAAGUUCUGUCAUACCAAGCAUUUUGUGCGUUUAGAAUCCCUUGAAGAGAUGGGGAAUCUUGGGGAGAGGUCACAUCAUGGUGUGUGACUAACUUGCUCUUUUUUUUUUAAAAAAAAGUUUAUUUAUUUUGGCUGUGCUGAGUCUUAGUUGCGGCACGCGGGGUCUUCGUUGUGGCAUGCGAAGGCGUGAGAACUCAUAGUUGCGACAUGCGGACUCAUAGUUGCAGCAUGCAGGAUCUAGUUCCCCAACCAGGGAUUGAGCCCGGGUCCCAUGCAUUGGGAGUGCAGAGUCUUAUCCACUGGACCACAAGGGAAGUCCCUGCUCUUCUUUCUUCCCAUCGCUGUCCUUAACCCCUUCUCCCCCAGAUUGCCACGGAAAUUCCAGGUUGUUCUACUCUAUUAUAAAAAGCUGUUUAGUUUUCCUCAGCCUCUGAUACUAAUUUGUAUACAAAAACACAUCAAGGGGCUCAGCAGAACAAGGUCUCACCACUUAACGGUGGUACACCCACCCCAAAAAAAGCAGCUGUAAAAAACCCAAACAAAUAAAUACCCUUGAAGAUUUGCAAAGCAUGUAAACAUAUUAAAGUUCAAGACAGUAGUGUGAGCACAAGUGGUAGUUUCCCCUUCCUUUUGAGACCUUCAUUAAAAUGACAGAAUAGGAAUAUAAACACAUAACAGCAAGGAGAAUGGCAGGGAAGAGGGGUGGCAAGUGUAGAGAUUUCAACAAAUUUCUAGAAGUAAAGGACAGCACACUGGUUGCUCAGCAGAGUGGAGGAAGCCAUAGCCCAGAAGGCAGGCAAUGGGAGUGAAAGCCAGUCUUCCUGGCAAGAUCCCAGAGGCUCUGAACUCAUAACCAGCAAGUGCUGAGACAGACAUGGAAAGUGGACCCAAAAACAAGGGCGUUUGUAGAAGGUCUGUCUAUGCAGAAGCUUGUACCAGUCACCCCCUAACCCCUUUACCUUCAAAAUGGAGAGUGAUUGGCACUUACUUCCAGACAAGCAACACACACACACACACACACACACACACACAGCAAAACCAAGAAGGCUUAUUCUAUAGAAAUCCAGUAAGUCCCCAGGAGAAAUCUAGGGUGUUUAAUGUGUUGACAUCCCAGAAUAAAACUUUCGUUAUUGUGACAUUUAUAAACCCUCCCCCCACCCUUUCCCCCAACAAUCACCCACACACUCACCCUACAGUAAUGCCUGCCAGAAAACCCUACUGCCAAAAGUCCUUCAUGUUCUGUCUCAGGGAAACAGAUACAGGGAAACAGAGGAAAUAUACAGCAACAGAAGACACGAGCUCAGUUACUAAGAUUGUUGGUCUGUUAUUCCAUAAACACGCAACCAGGAGGACCAGAAUUAUAAAGACAACUAAAAGCAUAAGAGAGAGACAAGAUAAACAGAAUAAGUGACUCUAGACAACAGAAAGUUGUAAUGGCACAGUAGAAUCUUUUUUUAAAAAUUGAGGUAUAGUUGAUUAUUAUAUGAGUUUCCAGUGUACAACAUAGUGAUUCAGAAUUUUUAUAGAUUAUACUUCAUUUAAAGUUAUUAUAAAACAUUAGUUAUAUUCUCUGUGCUGUACAAUAUAUCCUUGUAGCUUAUUUACUUUAUACGUAGUAGUUAGUAACUUAAUCCCCUAUCCCUAUCUUGCCCCUCCCUCUUCCCUCUCCCCACUGGUAACCGCUAGUUUUUCUGUAUCUGUGAGUCUGCUUCUGUUUUGUUAUAUUCAUUCAUUUGUGUUAUUUUUUUAGAUUUCACAUAUAAGGGAUAACAUACAGUAUUUGAUUUAUUUCAGUAAGUAUAAUACCCUCUGAGUCCAUCCAUGUUGCUGCAAAUGGCAAAAUUUCAUUCUUUAUGGCUAAUAUUCCAUUGUAUAUAUAUAUGCCAUAUCUUCUUUAUCCAUUCAUCUGUUGAUGGGCACUUAACUUGUUUCCACACCUUGGCCAUUGUAAAUGAUGCUGCUACAAACAUUGAGGUACAUGUAUCUUUUUGAAUUAGUGGGGUUUUGUUUUGGUUUUUUUGUUUUUUCAGCUAUAUAUCCAGGAGUGGAAUUGCUGGGUUAUAUGGUAGUUCUAUUUUUAGUUUUUUUGAGAAACCUCCAUAUUGUUUUCCACAGUGGCUGCACGAAUUUACAUUCCCACCAACAGUGUACAGGGUUCCCUGUUCUCCACAUCCUCGCCAACAUUUGUUAUCUGUGGUCUUUUUGAUGAUAGCCUUUCUGACAGGUGUGAGGUGAUAUCUCAUUGUGUUUUAAUUUCUUUGAUGAGUAAUGAUGUUGAACAUCUUUUCAUGUGCCUGUUGGCCAUCUGUAUAUCUUCUUUGGAAAAAUGUCUGUUUAGGUCUUCUGGCCAUUUUGAAAUUGGGUGGUUUGUUUUUUUGAUAUUGAGUUGUAUGAGCUGUUUAUAUAUUUUGUAUAUUAACCCCUUAUUGGUCAUAUCAUUUGCAAAUGUCUUCUCCCAUUCAGUAGGUUGUCUUUUCAUUUUGUUGAGGUUCCCUUUGCUGUGCAAAAGCUUUUAAGUUUAAUUAGGUCCCAUUUGUUUAUUUUUGCUUUUGUUUCCUUUGCCUUAGGAGAUCGAAAAAAAUAUUGCUACGAUUUAUAUCAAAGAGUGUUCUACUUAUGUUUUCUUCUAGUAGUUUUAUGGUUUCUAGCGUUACAUUUAGGUCUUUAAUCCAUUUUGAGUUUAUUUUUGUAUAUUGUGUGAGAGAAUGUCCUAAUUUCAUUCUUUUACAUGUAGCUGUCCAGUUUUCCAGCACCACCUAUUGAAGAGACUGUCUUUUCCCCAUUGUAUAUUCUCACCUCCUUCGUUGUAGAUUAAUGACCAUAAAGGUGUGGGUUUAUUUCUGGGCUCUCUGGCACAGUAGAAUCUUUAAAAACUCUAAUGAUAUCCUCAGGAAGAUCUGGGAAGAGACUACCUCCAUAGAACAAGAAAGGUUGCUAGUGGAAAGAGACCAACUGGAAAAUUAGAAAUAACUUUUGGAUAUUAAGCAUAUGAUAGCUAAAAUAAGAUAUUCAAGAAACCACUUGGGAGAUAACAUCAAGAAAAGCCCCUAAAAUAUAAGGCAAAAAUACAGAGAUAGGGAAAGAAGAAAUAAAGGACACAGAAGACCAACUUCUUAUGAUGAAGACUGCUGGUUGUCCUCCAAAAUCUGUUCACCUUUUUUAUUGGGGGCACUUAACUAACUAACAUUUCCUAGUCUCCUUUGUAGUUGGGUAUAACCCUAUAAUUUAAGUUCUUGCCAAUGGAAAAUGAGCAGAAAUGGUAUAUGACAUUCCUGGGCCUAGACCCUCAGGAAAGCAGGCAUGCCUUCACAUCAUUUUCUUUCCCCUUUUUACCAGCUGUAACCUGCAGGAGCCCAGCUUUGAUGGUUGCAGACUAUACAAUGUCCUAGUGUAGACUUGCCAGAUAAAACACAAGGCACCCAGUUAAAUUUGAAUUUCAGAUAAACAAUGAAUCAUUUUUAGUAUAAGUAUGUCCCAGAUAUUGCAUCUUAGUGGAUGGCAGAGCAACAGGAUAAAAAGAACUGGGUUUUUGAAUUUAGCAUGUAGCAAUGCUACCCCAUUCACUUGAAUACACAUUUCAAAACUGUUAGUGAGAGAGAAACACACUUUUUUUGUACUCCAAGCCACUGUGUUGUUUGGUCUCUUUAUUACAGCACCCUAAUCUUUCAUCCUAAUACUUAGAGUGAAUUUCUGCCAUAACAAGACUGUGGCUCGUCUUACUAUGUAAGAUGUCUUACUCUUGCCAUUGGUCAUUUUUCCUCCACAUUUUAACAUCUCCAAAAUUAGAUGCUGUUUUAGAUAAAAUAAAAUACCAUAUUACAGGAAAGAGAUAAGGCAGUGAUUUCAGCAAGAUAGUGGAAUAGGAAGUCCCAAAUGUCAGUCCUCAACAGAGACGCCAGGUUAACAACAAUGUAUGGACCAAAAUAUCUUUUUGAGAACUCCAGAAACCCACAAGCAGGCACAUCUCAACUUGGGUUGUUUUUCAAGGGGUUGGGGUGAGGGUGGGAAGAAGAGUGGAAUAUGCAUUCAACAUUCUGGCUUUUCAGAGGGUUUCCCGAGGGACUGGUUUCUGUCUCUCUUGAUUUGCAAUACUGAUGGGGAGCCAAAAUACUUCGGAUGCCCCUAAGCACAACAUAGGUUGGGAUGCUGCUGAGUGAGGUGGCUUGACGCUGUAGCACCAGAAAACUUUCAGUACCACAGACAGACACCAGAGGGAGCAAGAGAUUAUGAAAAAGAAACCUGAGAAAGAAACCAGCAGACCUCUCUAAUUGGAAAAUUAGCUGCACAAGCUCAGAGAAGUCGCAUCCACCAAAAAAGUUUUCAGGGAUUCCCCAGAAUCUCUAGUCAGGUUAAUUAUUAAAGGUCUUCCCCUCACAGAAGCCCGUCCAAAUGAGGAUAUCAACAAAGAGACAGAAACUAUAAAAAAGAACCAAAUUCUGGAGCUGCAGAAUACAGUAAGUGAAUUGAAAACUUAUUAGAGGGGUUCAACAGCACACUUGAUCAAACAGAAGAAAGAAUCAGCAAACUCAAAGAAGGGCAUUUGAAAUUAUUUAGAGUCAUAGG
ensembl:lncRNA